rnacentral:rRNA from 1 species
UUCGGCACUUGAGACCGGCGCACGGGUGCGUAACACGUGUACAAUCUACCUUUUGCUAAGGGAUAGCCCGAAGAAAUUUGGAUUAAUACCUUAUAGUAUUGUUUGGUGGCAUCACUGAAUAAUUAAAGCUCUGGUGGCAAAAGAUGAGUACGCGUCCCAUUAGCUAGUUGGUGUGGUAACGGCAUACCAAGGCUACGAUGGGUAGGGGUCCUGAGAGGGAGGUCCCCCACACUGGUACUGAGACACGGACCAGACUCCUACGGGAGGCAGCAGUGAGGAAUAUUGGACAAUGGUCGGAAGACUGAACCAGCCAUGCCGCGUGCAGGAUGACGGCCUUAUGGGUUGUAAACUGCUUUUAUACAGGAAGAAUAAGGUCUACGCGUAGAUUGAUGGACGGUACUGUAUGAAUAAGCAUCGGCUAACUCCGUGCCAGCAG